GUUUUUAAAACUAUUGCAAUAUUGGAUCUUAGGAUCUAAAUCGAAGUCUUAUUGUUCUGGGCACAGUGAAAACAAGUACAAGAACCAGCUUCCACCCUAAGAAGUCCUAAAAUAUAAUCUGCUCUUCCACAAGCUUUUCAGUUCUGUAGGCUGCAUCUUUGUUAGCAAAUAGUGUGGAGCAGUGGAUAUGGAUCUGCAGGAACAAACAGGCUGCAGGUUCUCUGCAGGAGGCUGGAGCAGGCUGCCAGGCAGAAAUUUCAAAAGCAUCCCUGAGAUGCUAUGGGGAGCAUGGAACACCUGAGAAACAGAGAAUCACUGUUACAUAAGCCUUCUAUUUCCUGGCUGAACAAGACAGGUCUAAAGGUAUCCAGGUGUUGGAGCUCUGCAGGAUGUGCCCCAGAGAGGCAGCUGCCCCACGUGCCUGUAUCUGAGGUGCAUCAGAUGAAACGUAGGUGAGUGUUUGAUAAAAACCUUUCAGACAAGAAGCAGAAUGGUCAGAUCUGAUUUGUAGGGACAAGGGAAGGGGUAAAUGGUGCCGGGCCAAUGUGUUCCUCCUCCCCAGCUGGUGCCUUCCAUGGCAGUUUUUACCAAGUCCUUUGCAGGGGGAUGCAGUUACUAAACUGUGCCAUGUGUGGCAUCUCGCUCCUUUGAAGUUCAUACUUCAAGGGGAAGAGCAAAGAGACAUCCUGCUAGAGCACUCAGGUGGAUUCAGUUCAGCCUUCCUUGUAUCUUAAGAAGGAAAGGAAAAAAGGCAAAGUAAGUGGAGAGGGAAAAGAAAUUCUUCCUCAAUCCAGGACUGGGUAAAGUUGAUGCAAAUCUUGGUUUGAUUAGCAUGUAUAGGAGUCAUUUACAGUAAUUUAUCUGCUUUUUCCCCAGUGCUUUUGUCCUAAACUUAUUUUGCACUGCAAAGUAAGGCAGUUAUCAGCUGCUUUUCUGUUAUCCUCUGAGGGGAGCAUUUUCUGCAGCUGCUGAAUUGCACUCAGAACAGUGGAGAAUGAUCACCAUGAUUUACAAGGAGGCUUCAGGUCAAUGCCCUGCUGAGGAAGUGAAGGAGCAGGGGCUGAUAGACAAAGAUAACUGCUUCUGCCUGGAAGUUAAACGGCUGCCCUUGAGGGGAGACUGCACAGGGAUCACAGGUUCAAUCGCUCCAGGGAUGUGGGAGAACACUUCAGCCUGUCCUGGAGACUCAAAGGAAGAGUGA
rnacentral:lncRNA from 1 species